CUCCCCUCAGUCUCCUCUUCUCCAGGCUGAACAGACCAAGUGACCUCAGCCACUCCUCACACGGCUUCCCCCCAAGGCCCUUCACCAUUCUCACAGCCCUCCUUUGGACACUCCCGAACACCUCAAUGUCUUUUAUGGCAGUGACCGAAACUGAAUACAAUAUUCAAGGCUAUUAAUGCACUGUAAGAGGAUAGCCCUGACCUUGCAAAACAAGGGGAGAAAAUUUUCCAUGACUCUACAUACAGGCAACAGUGAGAGAUACAGAGGGAGGAGAGGAUGAAACAGAAAAUAUAGCACUUGUCAUGGUGGAAAACUGUUAAAGCAGACCAUGUUAAGAAUAAAGCAAAAGUGA